rnacentral:tRNA from 1 species
GCCCUGGUAGUAUAGCCUGGCCUAGUAUGCGGGCCUGUCACGCCUGCGGCCCGGGUUCAAAAGGUCUUUCGACCGGAAAGUCCCGGCCAGGGCG